UUCUUAAGUGAAUUGAAAGAGAAAUUAUGCUAAACACUAAUUUUUAAUUGAAAUGAAAGCUAAGCUAUGAAGAAUACAUAAAAGUUAUCAAAAUGAAGGGUGAAAUCUGAUAUGCCCAACCCCGUCUUCCUCUUCUCUAUUUAUAGCCUUUAAAAUAAGUGGGGGUGGUGGUUUCAUGAUUGCUCCACCACCCUAGGUUGUAGGAGGGAGGUGCCACCCCUAAUUGAUAAGCUAGGGUGGCUAAGCAGUCCUGGCAGCAGCAUUAAAAGGGAUAAAUGUGAUUGGACCUCAAAUGAUGUUUAAAAAGAUCGCAAAAGCUGAUGCUGCCCAUCUCGCUCGACCAGUCGAGCCACCAUCAAGUACAAUAUCAGAAACUUCAAAAAUUGGUCAAAAUGUGAAAAUCAGCUUCGCUCGACCUGGUCGAGCGGAUGUCCUGUACCCUUGAAAUGCAUCCUGCUAAUGAUCAGAAGCUACUGGAAGUUUGUCUGCACUUCACUCGACCCGAGGCACCUUGCUCGACCGAUCAAGCGACCUUCAGGAAUGUGAUACUCAGCUUCUGAAGCGCUUGGGCUACCUUGGCUUGAGCUAAUUCUGGUCGAGUGGGUCUACUAUGGCUUCUUUUGGCUUGUUCUUGUGGCUUGGCUCAUGAUGUUUCACUUCUUUGAGCCCUCGGCGUUUAGGUGAGCAAUGUAUGCAACAAAAAAGGGCUAGUUUGUACUCGGUUUUCAUGAUUAAAUCCUAAAAUGAAAUAAAACACCAAAGCAACAAAGCAAGCGUAAAAUCCAAUAAAACAAUGCAAUAACAUAUAGUUUCCUCACGCUAAACAAGCCACUUAGGAGUGAAAGUAAAGAUAAAAUGUAACUAACAAACUCCCCCAAGCCAGACCCUUGCUUGUCUUCAAGAAAGCAUUGUGUUAUCAUAGAGAGAAGAGAUAGGGAACCAAUGUAGAUGCACAUGAAUGAUCUGACAGAAGACCUAAGAAAACAUGGGUGGAGCAGAUCAAGAACGACUUAAAUGAGUUGUGCCUCUCUGCGGACUUGACUAGGAAUAUGAGUAGUUGGAGACGUCAGAUCCAUGUUUUAAACUAAUAGUAGUUUCUUUAGUUACCUCCCUACCCUAGGGUCUAGGUUCUUCUUACACGCUUUGUUUUGUUUCUUUGUAUAAUUAUCGAGGUUUUACCUUGUUUUUAUUUUUAUUUUCUUUUUUUCUCAUUUUAUUUUCUUUUUUGGUUAGAUCUAGUUUAUGCUUGUGCUGUCUUUUUCUGCUAAUAGUUGCACUCUUGAGACAAUGUUGCCACUCAUAUCCUCCUUUUGCAGGGCUCUUACUGUUUUAGGGGUAAAACCGACCGCUUUCCUCUAGUCCUUCCUGUGAAGGGAGUACGAGUAUGAAUUGUCCGUCACCUUCCCUCAACCAGACCCUACUUUUGAGCGGGUUAUUGGGCAUGAUGAUGAUGAUGAAUAUGUGAAAAGUUGAAUUACUAAUAUCAUUUUUUCCUAAAAUAAAUUAGCAUAGAAAAUUGAAUAUAUUGAAUUACUUCAAGAAUGGGGUCUUGUACUAUACACUAACACUACUUUGUACAUCCUAAUUGAUGAGCAUGCACAUAGACAGAAUCCAAAAGCCCGAAAGUUAAAAUUUUAUCCUUGUAAAAUAUGUGGUCAUUUGUCAUAAACCAUUAUUAACAAAUAUCAAUGCAAAUUCAUAAAUAAAAAAACAAAUUAUUUAAUUAUUAAUACAAUUCAAUACAAUCUAAAAUCUAUGAACAAUAAAUCUUUGGCUUCAAUAGAAUUUUUGGCAAUGAAGUGAAAAUUACCACACGUUUUGUUUUCCACAAGUCAACCAAACCUAUCCGCAAAGUCUUUGGUAGGGAAUAGAUUUAAUGACUUGAGUAGUAGAAUAAGCAUGGUCCUUCAUUCCUUUGUAUUUGUUUUAGUUUUUUUUUUUUUUUCAGUUUUUAAUUUUUCUAGCUUUUUUUGAAAGAAACAAAAUAUUAAGGUUUAUCACCAAAAAAAAAAAUCAAAAAAAAAAAUCAGAAUUUUGGUAUUUUUAAGGUGACUGUUCCCAACGGCUAAAUCCCUAGCACCAUCCCUCUCCUUUAUACAGCUUUUCCGGCCAUCGCAGAAGGCAGCGGCCUGCCGACCAGGGCAACUGAGCAGGGCAACUGACGCACCUCAGCUAGCUGCUAACCUCAGCCGCUUUUUGUUUCUUCGUUCGUGUGCGGGUUAAAGAAGCCAGCUCUUGUAGCAGGAGCGGCACUGAGUCGAGGAAGACCCAGGAGAACUUGGAAUGAGCAGAUAAAAAUUGACUUACGGGAGCUAAACCUCUCCGAGGGCCUGACUAGGGAUAGGGGUAGUUAGAGGCGUCAUAUCCAUGCUUUAGAUUGUUGAUGUCCUCCUACGUCAUCGUAUCUUUCUCGAGCCGGGGGACUCCUUUGGCCACACUCCCUUCUACGGGUAUGAGUUGCCGUCGUCCUUCCCUUUUCAGACCAUGUCCAUAGUUUUUCUAUGAGCGGGUUAUACUGGAUUGGAUGAUGAUGAAUUAUAAUUAAGGGGUAAAAUGGAAAGAUGGAAUAAAAUAAUGACUUGUGUAGUAGAAUAAGCAAGAUCCUUCACUCCUUUGAAUUUGUU